rnacentral:lncRNA from 1 species
CUGCUACUGAUCAGGUUCUGGUCAUUAUGUACUUUCUGCGUUGACGGUUUCUGAUAUGCCGACUCUAUGUCGGUAGUCUGAAUAUGUCGACUAUAUAUUGAUAAUUGUAGAAAUUCGGAUGAUCAUUGAUCGAUAAUUCUAAUAUGCCGAUAGCCAUCGAUUUGAAGUCAGUUGAGCUAUCAUAGUUAGAGUUUGUCAGGGAGGUU